AGUGAACGCUGGCGGUAGGCCUAACACAUGCAAGUCGAACGGCAGCACAGUAAGAGCUUGCUCUUACGGGUGGCGAGUGGCGGACGGGUGAGGAAUACAUCGGAAUCUACUUUUUCGUGGGGGAUAACGUAGGGAAACUUACGCUAAUACCGCAUACGACCUACGGGUGAAAGCGGGGGAUCUUCGGACCUUGCGCGAUUGAAUGAGCCGAUGUCGGAUUAGCUAGUUGGCGGGGUAAGGGCCCACCAAGGCGACGAUCCGUAGCUGGUCUGAGAGGAUGAUCAGCCACACUGGAACUGAGACACGGUCCAGACUCCUACGGGAGGCAGCAGUGGGGAAUAUUGGACAAUGGGCGCAAGCCUGAUCCAGCCAUACCGCGUGGGUGAAGAAGGCCUUCGGGUUGUAAAGCCCUUUUGUUGGGAAAGAAAAGCAGCAGGUUAAUACCCCGCUGUUCUGACGGUACCCAAAGAAUAAGCACCGGCUAACUUCGUG
rnacentral:rRNA from 1 species